AGGAUAAGGAGAAAGGUGGUUUAUGCUCAGAAACACAUUUUCUUCCUGAGAUGUGAAUGUUUUCUUUCUGUUCUUUGAGGUGGAGCGUAUUUGUGGGUAGAUUCCCCGUGGCUGGCUGGGCCAAGGAGUUGUGUACCUUCACAUGGCGGUCUUGUCAAAGGAGAAGGUCUUGUAAAAUGUACUAAGCUUGACAGUGCUUGCCACUUGGAUGACCCAGUUUUCAUCAGAAACCAGUCCAAGGACACCUAGAGGUGAAACCUGCUGCCCACUGUCAAUAUCGGGGAAAUAUACUCACUACACACCCAGCACAAACGACAGGGACCGGCUGCCGGCGCACCGGGCUGCAGAAAGCCAGGACCCAGAGUCCAUUUCGCUCCCACCUUCAUUUCCUCAGCUGCAGAGACCGCUUUUCAAGCACGCAGCGUCCUAUGCAAAACCUUCCCUACCACAGCGCUUGGAAGAUGAUAUUUUCCAGAAGCUGAUUUUUUUCCAGAAGCUUCGGUGCCAAGUGUCUGCCACACUGGCACCUCCACCAAACACAUCUUCACAUUUCCUCACCUCCACCCAGCAGCGAGGAUGUGGGCAAGAAAUGGGGUCUCAGCCGCUGCACCAAAAGCUUUGGUUUAAAAUCUUUGCUUCUUAGUGUGUAUGAAUUAAAGACAUUUAAGAAAAUGUGGUGUUAAACUUGCCUGAGGAAAGUACCUACGAUUCCUGUAGAGCUUCCCCCAUGUCCUUCCGUGGAUGUUUGCUCUCCUGCCUGAAGAGAGCUUCAGCCUUUUUGGGCACAGACAGCUCUCAUUUACAUGCCUCACAUGUUCCUGGGUAGGGUAACGUUUAAAAGUAAGUAACCAUCAUGGUUUUAGCCAGGUUUCGCUCUGAAUCACCAACUUACCUCAAAGCAAAACUGAGAAAAAGUUCUGGGCUAACUCUCGUGUUCUCAAACCUUGGACGUCUUGACUUAGCAUGAAAUUAUUCAGAGCUCAUGCUGCCAACUAUUGCUCCUGUAAGAAACCAGACAAAACCCCCUCAAUUUUCAGUGGUUUCGGGAUUUGUUUUUAGUGGCUACCCCCAUAUUUAGCUGGCGGAAAUGCCGCCAGCAAUCACCACUGACACGAAGCAAGCUCACUCUCACUUUCCACGCUUGCAGCCUCUGCCAAACUGCUGCUCCGGUGACACUGCUUCUGGGUAGGACUUGGACCUCCAGCCCUGCACUGGACUGGGAAAUACCACACAAUGAGGAGAACUGGGGAUUUUUGGCCAGUGGAAGGUGAUGGGUGUACGGUGUUAGGAAGCAAAACCUGGUCAGUAUAGUGCAGCCACUAUAAAACACCUUUCCUCAUGAAA